rnacentral:rRNA from 1 species
AUUGAACGCUGGCGGCAGGCUUAACACAUGCAAGUCGAGCGGAGAGAGGUAGCUUGCUACUGAUCUUAGCGGCGGACGGGUGAGUAAUGCUUAGGAAUCUGCCUAUUAGUGGGGGACAACAUUUCGAAAGGAAUGCUAAUACCGCAUACGUCCUACGGGAGAAAGCAGGGGAUCUUCGGACCUUGCGCUAAUAGAUGAGCCUAAGUCGGAUUAGCUAGUUGGUGGGGUAAAGGCCUACUAAGGCGACGAUCUGUAGCGGAUCUGAGAGGAUGAUCCGCCACACUGGGACUGAGACACGGCCCAGACUCCUACGGGAGGCAGCAGUGGGGAAUAUUGGACAAUGGGCGCAAGCCUGAUCCAGCCAUGCCGCGUGUGUGAAGAAGGCCUUAUGGUUGUAAAGCACUUUAAGCGAGGAGGAGGCUACUUUAGUUAAUACCUAGAGAUAGUGGACGUUACUCGCAGAAUAAGCACCGGCUAACUCUGUGCCAGCCGCCGCCGUAACAC